CAACAGUACGUGAAACCGCAUAGAGGUAAACGGGUGGAUCCGCAAAGUCGGCCCGCGGAAUUCAGCUCGGAAGGCUGCGCGCCUGCCGCCGGGUAGGAGAUCGCAAGACUCUCCUGGCGUGGGACGCGUGCCGGCCGUGUGCACUUUCCGUGGGCAGAGCGCCACGACCGGUUUCCGGGCGGUCAGAAGGCGGCGAGGAUGGUAGGCGCGUGCCUCGGUGCGCGCUGGUAUAGCCUCGCCUGUCCCGAUCCGCCUGGGGACCGAGGAGCCGCCGUGGGCUGGGGCCGCCUCGCCCUCCUGGGAUGUUCGACUGGCAGAGACUGGGUGACCGUGUCUGCCGACCGCUUCCUGGGACGGACUGGGGUGGGCCCGCCCUCACAGGGUCAGUGGCGAAUCGGUCGGCCCUCCACCCGACCCGUCUUGAAACACGGACCAAGGAGUCUAACAUGCGCGCGAGUCGUUGGGUCGUACGAAACCCGAAGGCGAAGUGAAAGCGAGGGCCGUCUCUGACGUGCUCAGGUGGGAUCCCGGUCCCUCUGCGGGCUGGGCGCACCACCGGCCCGUCUCGUCCGCGUUGU
rnacentral:rRNA from 1 species